UGGGGAAUAUUGGACAAUGGGCGCAAGCCUGAUCCAGCCAUGCCGCGUGAGUGAUGAAGGCCCUAGGGUUGUAAAGCUCUUUCACCGGUGAAGAUAAUGACGGUAACCGGAGAAGAAGCCCCGGCUAACUUCGUGCCAGCAGCCGCGGUAAUACGAAGGGGGCUAGCGUUGUUCGGAUUUACUGGGCGUAAAGCGCACGUAGACGGACUUUUAAGUCAGGGGUGAAAUCCCGGGGCUCAACCCCGGAACUGCCUUUGAUACUGGAAGUCUUGAGUAUGGUAGAGGUGAGUGGAAUUCCGAGUGUAGAGGUGAAAUUCGUAGAUAUUCGGGGGAACACCAGUGGCGAAGGCGGCUCACUGGACCAUUACUGACGCUGAGGUGCGAAAGCGUGGGGAGCAAACAGG
rnacentral:rRNA from 1 species